GACGAACGCUGGCGGCGUGCUUAACACAUGCAAGUCGAGCGGUAAGGCCCCUUCGGGGGUACGACGAGCGGCGAACGGGUGAGUAACACGUGGGUGACCUGCCCUCAGCUCUGGGAUAAGCCUGGGAAACUGGGUCUAAUACCGGAUAUGACUCCAUGACGCAUGUCGUGGGGUGGAAAGCCUUGUGCGGCUGGGGAUGGGCCCGCGGCCUAUCAGCUUGUUGGU
rnacentral:rRNA from 1 species